ensembl:lncRNA
ACUCUGCCAUAGAUGACACCUCUGACAUACGGUUCAUCUUAGUGACAACUGCCUAAGUUGUUCUCCAGGAACUUGGAGGUAGCUCACACUGGUUGGAAUCACUGAUCCUUCACCUGGGCCUGUACUAACUGAUCUUGAAUUCGGUUGCCCGAACAAGCAUAUCCAGUGUAAGCACUUUUACUGAGCACCCACCAAGUCAAAAGGAGCAUUUCAAGUGCUCUGGAACCUUCUGCUUUCAUUUACUAAUAAUCCUCAAACAGAAUGUCUGCUUCCGACAUUGGCUUCUGAAAUAGAACAGAAUCUUAAUUAGCUCAUGAGAAACUCCUACUUAAGUAGUCUUAGAGCAAAUGGACUCAUUUCCUUCUCUAAUAGAUCCUCCUGUUGUUUGACUGUGAUGAGAAUGGUCUUUUAAAAGAGGCCUCAGGUGUGAAACCAACUGUUCAGGCUCAUUGUCAGCUGCCGGCUCCUAGAGUAUUAAUUCAAAAUUAGCGAAAAUAUAAGACUAUGUCUACAUUGGCCAACUCUACUGCAAAAUUGAGCAAUUUUCAGUUAAGGGUGCAGCAUCCUCUACAAUGCCCUUGAGGAAGAUUCAGAAGCUCAUUCUACUUCCAUCUGCUUCCAUCAUUAGAGAAAGAAGUUGAUUAAUUCAACCUCUCUAACAAUAAGAACGGAUGCUGUUAAACUAAAAGGGUGGUGGUGAUCCAACUUCAUUCACGGUAGAUGAGAAACUCCUGGGGGGAUGGCAGAAAAACAGGUACAGAGAACCUAGGCAGAACAAAGUUGUGUUCUAAACCACCCACCUAUUUCUGCACUGUUAAAUAUGAGAGAAGUACACUUUCGAUUUUGACAGCCAUAUUUUCUUUGAGCUAUUGUAUUUUGGGGUAACUUCGUUACCAUAGCUUAGCCAGCCUAACACUUUCUUAAAAUGUGUAAUGCUUUUUGCUAUAGAUGCUAUUCUAGAGUUUCAUUGACUCGUUCAUUGUCCUCUGGAGGAACUGUGAGAAUCUGAGAAGUGGCUAGGUCUGACUUCUGAGAUCAUUUAUGAUGAGUAGAACUCUCUUAAAGACGCGUGCUCUUGAAAAAACUAUGGGCAGAACUCAGUGAGGCUGAAGUCUUUACUGUGAAAGAGGCUGCUGCAUACCAGUAGGGAGUGAGCUGGGCAGAUUAGCAGAGCAAAUUGCCCUUUGUGGCUAUAUAAUUUACAAUUGCCUCCGAUCAAGUCCAUAGGAAUUUUUUUAGGUUUGAUAAAGAGCUAAAAGUAAAGCUGGUGCAUCUUAAUGAUUUUUUCUAACUAUCUCUAUGUCUUUGCAGAAAAAAAUUGAGGUAAGAAGUGGAUCUGUAUUUUUGUUUACAUAGAUAUUAUAUUUCUAAACAGAGUGGACUUGUCCUAAGCACUCAACUGAGGUUUGCUGAAUUGAUUUUUCAGAAUAUAGUUCAAGAAUAUUACAUAUAUUCUAGCUCUCAUAACUAAUAAUUGGAAUAAGUUUUACUCUAAUUUACUAAUUUACUAAAUGUGAUUUCCCUCAAACUGGUCAUUUUUUUGUUACACUGUUAUACUACAAAAGUAAAUGUUUGGAGGACUUUUCUAAAUACAGAUAGUCAAGUGAUUGCUAGUUAUUUAGGCUCAUAGUUGUUUUCAGCUGAGAGUUAUGGAAAUAUCUGAUAAAACUUUAGCCUGCAUUUUAGAUCAAGAAAGCAAGAUUUAUUUCUGAUCAGGGUUAAUAUAUUUACAGACAAGAAAAUAAUCUCCAUGUAACAAUUAGAUCAACUUUGCUUUUUCUUUUUGAACAAUGAAUUUGGGUGUCAUAAUAAUAAAGUUUUUCUUCACCACAGAAAGUAUUUUGCAGGAAGAAGAGCCUUCUCAUGGGAAAGUUGUUGAAUUUGGUCCGAAUAAACAGGGUUUGCCUAUGCAGCGAUGGUUUUUUGGGAGAAGGUUUUUCUGUUAUUUGUAUUAGCUGAUCUUCAUCAUAAUAAAAUGACCUUGGAUGGGUAACUUUUCUGACUUAGACUGGCGUGGAUAAUAACUGAGAAUUUCUAAGUACCCUAUCUAUUGCUCAAUUGUGAAGAGCUAAUUGAAUCAUUACAUAUUAAAAUAUAGUCCUCUGAAAAUUUGUGACAUUUGCUUCUAGCAAAAAUGGUGUCUGACGUAUUUUUGUAAAUUGCCUGAAAAUGAAUAUCAAAAAUCAAUGAUGAAUUGAAAGAAAAGAGUACCUAGCCUAAGUGCUAAUUGUUUUUCCAAAUUAAAAUUGUGUAAUAAGAUCUUCAGUUUCUUAAGAUCAUUUUAAAGAAAAUGUCUAUCAAUUUCCCUUUACUUGAGAGCAUUUUUAAACUAAAAACAAUUAAGUUUUUGAGAUAGAUUUAAUUUUUACAUCUUUUAAGUACCAGUAUAAACAUCUGCCAUCUGGCAUAGAAAUUACCUCAUAUGGCAGGAGGAGAGAUGAAUUUAUUUAAAAGUUCUUUGUCUUUGAUACUUUUCCCUGCUGCAUUUUCCACUAGUGUAAUUUGAACCUGACUGUAUUUAAAUAACCAUUUAUCGGCAUAAUGGAAGAGCGGACUUAAAAAUACAUAACUGCUGUCAUUCCAGGAAUCUGUAUUAAGGAAACAUAGAAUUUGCCAUUCUAGAUCAGACCAUUAGUCUAUCUUGUCUAACCCUUGCCUCUGGCUGUGGCCGACACCGAAGACAAUGGAGAAAAACAGAAAAAUGCAACCAUUUUUUAGGGAAAUAAUUAUUUUCUCAGCUGGUAAUCUUACAGUAUAGGAUAUUAGUAUGGAAUUACCCCCACCUGUUUAUAUGAUUAAUUUUAUCAGUGUAUAAACUAGCAAAUUCUGUUAAAGUUAUUUUUCCAAAUUAUACUUGAUUAGUUAUGAAAUCUAUAUGAAAUAAUCUUUAUGAGACACUUGUUAUUUUUUUUAAUGCCUUCAAUUUUAAGUAUGAGGAAAGUGUGGGAAAGUUCAGGCAAAAAUAGCCAAAUCCUUCAAUUUUGACUGGUACUUCAAAGUCUGGAUAAAAAUAUAGUUACUACAAAAGUUCAGCUUGCAGGUCCAGAAGACAAUCUAAUACUAUCUAAUUGUGUACUAAAGUCAUGAUUGAUAGUAGCAGAAUAAUCCUCUGUUAACAGGUUGGUUGAAUAUAGGCCUACAAAUUUUUAUCUUCCUUGAUGACUCACCAAUGUCAUUGGAAGAAUAUUACAGCAACAAAUUCAUCUCUUGAUCUGUCUUUGAAGUUACAGGUACAUGAAAUGAACAAAACACCUGGAGCUCAUACACACACAGGUGCACUCUCACCUGCACAUACUCAGGAAUGUGCACACCAUCCCACUCGGCUCCUCUCUCCAGUGUUCCGGUCACAUCACUUCUUGGUGUCUCUGGAGCCCGUUACAUGUCUUCACUUUCUCCUCUGUUAGUCACCUCCCUACUCUCCCUAAGGGAAUAUAAGUGACUUUCCUUUGUGAUUACAUAAAUUAUGCUCAUUCUUCUAUAAGACUACCACAACAAUCCCUCAAGGAAUUAUAGGUGCAUAAAAUUUGUGUACACAUUCAGACAACUUCUCACCUGGACCAUAAAAUAUAAAACAGCUUUUUUGUCUUCUUAUCUCUUUCAAAACCAGAAAGAAGAUUGAAGGUCAAAAUGAAUCUUUGUUAAUUAGCAGACUUGCUAAAUUACAAGCACCACUGUUGAUGUGACUACCUGUUGUGAAUAAAUCUUCUUUUUACAUAAUUUACAUAAUUUGGAAACUCUAGGAUCAGGAAUCCAACCAGGACUUAACAGGCCC